GAUGAACGCUGGCGGCGUGCCUAAUACAUGCAAGUCGAGCGAACAGACGAGGAGCUUGCUCCUCUGACGUUAGCGGCGGACGGGUGAGUAACACGUGGAUAACCUACCUAUAAGACUGGGAUAACUUCGGGAAACCGGAGCUAAUACCGGAUAAUAUAUUGAACCGCAUGGUUCAAUAGUGAAAGACGGUUUUGCUGUCACCUAUAGAUGGAUCCGCGCCGCAUUAGCUAGUUGGUAAGGUAACGGCUUACCAAGGCAACGAUGCGUAGCCGACCUGAGAGGGUGAUCGGCCACACCGGAACUGAGACACGGUCCAGACUCCUACGGGAGGCAGCAGUAGGGAAUCUUCCGCAAUGGGCGAAAGCUUGACGGAGCAACGCCGCGUGAGUGAUGAAGGUCUUCGGAUCGUAAAACUCUGUUAUUAGGGAAGAACAAAUGUGUAAGUAACUAUGCACGUCUUGACGGUACCUAAUCAGAAAGCCACGGCUAACUACGUG
rnacentral:rRNA from 1 species